AAACAACUCCAUCCAUCUGCCCUUUUUUCUAUAUGUAUAUAUAUUCAUCAUCGAUCGUCUUCUAAACCAACAACUCUAAAGCAGUAACUCAAAGCCUUCCAAGUAUUUUGGUUAUCUAAAGUUCUAAACCCCAAUAUACCUUAUAAUCUUCCCCAGAUCUUCGCCUUUGUUCAAACAUGAGUACUACUAAUUCAGCAGCAGGACACCCCGCUCCAGCUUCCGGCGCCGCUCAGGGUCCCUAUUACGUGCAAGCUCCGCCACCAGCCGGCUACCCAACAAGAGAUGAACCCCAAAACGCGGUUCCGGUAGAAACCAAGUCAAAGGGUGAUGGCUUCUGGAAGGGCUGCUGUGCUGCCCUCUGUUGCUGUUGCAUGGUGGAUGCAUGUUUUUGAAGAUAUACCCAGCCAUUCAUACCGAUCAAUAUCUUUGAUCAUUUGUAUUUAUUUCUUCCUAGUUUUUUGUGUUAUUACAGUACAGUCACGGUGUGUGAUAUUGUUGAUGUAGAUUUGGACGGUGUCUGAUUGUCCAGUUUCUCAUCCUUGUAUAAUAAUUUUAGCUAUCUGGCUACCCUUUUUAUUUAUUUCUUUAUACUUUAUUUAGUGGUUGAUUUGUUUCUCUUUCAA